GGGCGCAUAGUGUGGUGGUAUCAUAUCUCAUUCGCAAUGAGUUGAUUAUAACUUGAGAAGGCCCUAGGUUAAAUUCCCAGGGGGUUCA